UGCCGGCGUGGCGGAAUGGCAGACGCAUCAGACUCAAAAUCUGACGGGGGUAACUUCGUGCCGGUUCGAGUCCGGCCGCCGGCAG
rnacentral:tRNA from 1 species